rnacentral:miRNA from 1 species
GUUUCUGUAGUGUAGUU